rnacentral:rRNA from 1 species
GAUUUCUGGUUUAGUGUUGUUGGCCCACCGGCAUCCGCUGGUUGGUGCCGAUUUGCGCUUACCAUCUUUCUAGAAAACAAGCAUGCCCUUCAAUGGAGCGUACUUGGGAUCUAGAUCUUUUACUUUGAAAAAAUUAGAGUGUUUAAAGCAGGCAUUGUGCUAUGAAUACAUUAGCAUGGAAUAAUAAUUUAGGACUUCGUGUCUUAUUUUGUUGGUUUCUAGGACCGAAGUAAUGAUUGAUAGGGAUAGUUGGGGGUGCUAGUAUUCAGCGGCCAGAGGUGAAAUUCUUGGAUUCGCUGAAGACUAACUUAUGCGAAAGCAUU